rnacentral:rRNA from 1 species
GAGUGAAGAGGGAAGAGCUCAUCAUUGGAAUCUGGCAGUGUUGCACUGUCCGAGUUGUAGAUGAGGAGUAGUCCGUCUGGACUGCAUGGCGUCCAAGUACAAUAGGCCGUCAGUGGGACAUCAUAGAGGGUGACAAUCCCGUCCUUGAUGCCAAUGUGCAAGUCUAUUACGAUGGCUAUCUCAGAGAGUCGAGCAGUUUGGGAUUUGCUGCUUAAACAUGGGAGGUAGAUUCCUUCUAAAGCUAAAUACAGGCGAGAGACCGAUAGAGAACAAGUACCGCAAGGGAAAGAUGAAAUAGCACUCUGUGAAGGGAGUCAAAAGGCGUGAAAUUGUUGCGAGAGAAGCGAUUCAAGUCAGCGUAGCUAGGCCCAUCAAGCGUCUUCGCUUUGGACUAGCUUUGCCAGCGGUCUUGUCCCUUAAAGAGACUUGACUUGUAAUAUGUCCAGCCUGGCGUGCACAGGCAGCCCCUUCUGGGGGCCAGUGGCAUGGCUGGUGGAAUGGCUUGCAAUCGACCCGUCUUGAAACACGGACCAAGGAGUCUAACAUGUAUGCGAGUAUAAGGGUGGCAAACCCGUAUGCGCAAUGAAAGUGAUUUUCGGUGAUUGAGAAUGGCCUGAUGACCAGACAAGCAAUAUAUGUCCCUCGUACGGCCAUUGCCCAAGUUCCGUGGUAGAUCCCACGAACAUGGAGUUGGAGCAUACAUGCUAGGACCCGAAAGAUGGUGAACUAUGCCUGGACAAAGCGAAGCCAAAGGAAACUCUGGUGGAGGCUUGUAGCGAUUCUGACGUGCAAAUCGAUCGUCUGAUCUGGGUAUAGGGGCGAAAGACUA